UACGUAGGGGGCAAGCGUUGUCCGGAUUUACUGGGCGUAAAGAGCGCGUAGGCGGAACGUUAAGUCCGAUCUGAAAGCCCCCGGCUCAACCGGGGAGGGUGGUUGGAACUGGCGUUCUUGAGGGCGAUAGAGGAAGGUGGAAUUCCUGGUGUAGAGGUGGAAAUUCGUAGAUAGUCGGGAAGGAACACCAGUGGCGAAGGCGGCGACCAUGGACGGACGACGUG
rnacentral:rRNA from 1 species